GUUGAACGCUGGCGGCAUGCCUUACACAUGCAAGUCGAACGGCAGCACGGGUGCUUGCACCUGGUGGCGAGUGGCGAACGGGUGAGUAAUAUAUCGGAACGUACCUUAUUGUGGGGGAUAACGCAGCGAAAGCUGUGCUAAUACCGCAUAAUCCCUAAGGGGGAAAGCGGGGGACCGUAAGGCCUCGCGCAAUUAGAGCGGCCGAUACCUGAUUAGCUAGUUGGUGAGGUAAAGGCUCACCAAGGCAACGAUCAGUAGCUGGUCUGAGAGGACGAGCAGCCACACAGGGACUGAGACACGGCCCAGACUCCUACGGGAGGCAGCAGUGGGGAAUUUUGGACAAUGGGGGCAACCCUGAUCCAGCAAUGCCGCGUGAGUGAAGAAGGCCUUCGGGUUGUAAAGCUCUUUUGUCAGGGAAGAAACAGCAGCUCUAACACAGUAUGCGAAUGACGGUACCUGAAGAAUAAGCACCGGCUAACUACGUGCCAGCCGCCGCGGUAA
rnacentral:rRNA from 1 species